rnacentral:rRNA from 1 species
UACAGAGGUCUCAAGCGUUGUUCGGAUUCAUUGGGCGUAAAGGGUGCGUAGGCGGCGCGGUAAGUCGGGUGUGAAAUCUCGGAGCUUAACUCCGAAACUGCAUUCGAUACUGCCGUGCUUGAGGACUGGAGAGGAGACUGGAAUUCAUGGUGUAGCAGUGAAAUGCGUAGAGAUCAUGAGGAAUACCGAUGGCGAAGGCAGGUCUCUGGGCUGACACUGACGCUCAUGCACGAAAGCGUGGGGAGCAAACAGG